GAUGAACGCUGGCGGCGUGCUUAACACAUGCAAGUCGAACGGAAAGGCUCCUGCUUGCCGGGGUCCUCGAGUGGCGAACGGGUGAGUAACACGUGGGUGAUCUGCCCUGCACUUCGGGAUAAGCCUGGGAAACUGGGUCUAAUACCGGAUAGGACGAUGGUUUGGAUGCCAUUGUGGAAAGUUUUUCGGUGUGGGAUGAGCUCGCAGCCUAUCAGCUUGUUGGUGGGGUAAUGGCCUACCAAGGCGUCGACGGGUAGCCGGCCUGAGAGGGUGUACGGCCACAUUGGGACUGAGAUACGGCGCAGACUCCUACGGGAGGCAGCAGUGGGGAAUAUUGCACAAUGGGCGCAAGCCUGAUGCAGCGACGCCGCGUGGGGGAUGACGGCCUUCGGGUUGUAAACUCCUUUCGCUGGGGACGAAGCGCAAGUGACGGUACCUGGAGAAGAAGCACCGGCUAACUACGUG
rnacentral:rRNA from 1 species